rnacentral:rRNA from 1 species
GUGUCAGCAGCCGCGGUAAUACGUAGGGUGCAAGCGUUGUCCGGAAUUAUUGGGCGUAAAGAGCUCGUAGGCGGUCUGUCGCGUCGGCUGUGAAAACCCGGGGCUCAACCCCGGGCCUGCAGUCGAUACGGGCAGACUAGAGUGCGGUAGGGGAGACUGGAAUUCCUGGUGUAGCGGUGAAAUGCGCAGAUAUCAGGAGGAACACCGGUGGCGAAGGCGGGUCUCUGGGCCGUAACUGACGCUGAGGAGCGAAAGCGUGGGGAGCGAACAGGAUUAGAUACCCCCGUAGUCC